UACGUAGGGUGCGAGUGUUAAUCGGAAUUACUGGGCGUAAAGCGUGCGCAGGCGGUUUGUUAAGACAGAUGUGAAAUCCCCGGGCUUAACCUGGGAACUGCAUUUGUGACUGGCAAGCUAGAGUAUGGCAGAGGGGGGUAGAAUUCCACGUGUAGCAGUGAAAUGCGUAGAGAUGUGGAGGAAUACCGAUGGCGAAGGCAGCCCCCUGGGCCAAUACUGACGCUCAUGCACGAA
rnacentral:rRNA from 1 species